rnacentral:rRNA from 1 species
GAUGAACGCUGGCGGCGUGCCUAAUACAUGCAAGUCGAGCGAACAGACGAGGAGCUUGCUCCUCUGACGUUAGCGGCGGACGGGUGAGUAACACGUGGAUAACCUACCUAUAAGACUGGGAUAACUUCGGGAAACCGGAGCUAAUACCGGAUCAUAUAUUGAACCGCAUGGUUCAAUAGUGAAAGACGGUUUUGCUGUCACUUAUAGAUGGAUCCGCGCCGCAUUAGCUAGUUGGUAAGGUAACGGCUUACCAAGGCAACGAUGCGUAGCCGACCUGAGAGGGUGAUCGGCCACACUGGAACUGAGACACGGUCCAGACUCCUACGGGAGGCAGCAGUAGGGAAUCUUCCGCAAUGGGCGAAAGCCUGACGGAGCAACGCCGCGUGAGUGAUGAAGGUCUUCGGAUCGUAAAACUCUGUUAUUAGGGAAGAACAAAUGUGUAAGUAACUAUGCACGUCUUGACGGUACCUAAUCAGAAAGCCACGGCUAACUACGUG